rfam:Leptospira licerasiae serovar Varillal str. VAR 010 7180000002868, whole genome shotgun sequence.
GCGGGCAUGGUGUAAUGGCUAGCACCGUAGCCUUCCAAGCUUCUAGUGAGGGUUCGAGUCCCUCUGCCCGCA